rnacentral:rRNA from 1 species
CCUACGGGUGGCAGCAGUGGGGAAUUUUGCGCAAUGGGGGAAACCCUGACGCAGCAACGCCGCGUGGAGGAUGAAAUCCCUUGGGAUGUAAACUCCUUUCGAUCGGGACGAUUAUGACGGUACCGGAAGAAGAAGCCCCGGCUAACUUCGUGUCAGCAGCCGCGGUAAUACGAGGGGGGCAAGCGUUGUUCGGAAUUAUUGGGCGUAAAGGGUGCGUAGGCGGUUUGAUAAGUCAUCUGUGAAAUCUAUGGGCUCAACCCAUAGUCUGCAGGCGAAACUGUCGGGCUUGAGUAUGGGAGAGGUGAGUGGAAUUUCCGGUGUAGCGGUGAAAUGCGUAGAUAUCGGAAGGAACACCAGUGGCGAAGGCGGCUCACUGGACUGGUACUGACGCUGAGGCGCGAAAGCGUGGGGAGCAAACGGGAUUAGAUACCCUGGUAGUC